CGCCAUGAGCAGACUGCGCACACGUUAAUGCCUCAUGGGGCGCCCAACGGGCAGCCCAGCGCCUCCCGUAGGCGCCCCGCCCUGCCGUGCCCUCGCGCGAGCGAGCACGCCCGGCGGGUAAAACAAACCCACGGCGCGGAAGGUGCCAAGGAUCACAACGUCGGAGCGCCUUCCCCAUCAUGGCCCCGUCCGCGGCAAGCUGUGCGGGUGAUGCGCGUUUCCCAAAAUUGAAUGACAUGAAAAAUGACUCUCGGCAACGGAUAUCUCGGCUCUUGCAUCGAUGAAGAACGUAGCAAAAUGCGAUACUUGGUGUGAAUUGCAGAAUCCCGUGAACCAUCGAAUCUUUGAACGCAAGUUGCGCCCGAAGCCAUUCGGCCGAGGGCACGCCUGCCUGGGCGUCACGCAUCGUGCCGCACCAUUGCCCCCCUCCCCGCUCUGGGACGGGGGACACGGUGCGGAUACUGGCCUCCCGUGCGCCCCGGCGUGCGGAUGGCCCAAAUGAGAUCCUCCGGUGAUGCACGCCACGACGAUUGGUGGUUGAUUGCUCGACUCACGUGCCGUCGUGGCCCGCAGCAUCUCCGGCCAGGGCAUCCGGAAGGACCCAACGGCGUGCG
rnacentral:sRNA from 1 species